UACGUAGGGUGCAAGCGUUAAUCGGAAUUACUGGGCGUAAAGCGUGCGCAGGCGGUGAUGUAAGACAGUUGUGAAAUCCCCGGGCUCAACCUGGGAACUGCAUCUGUGACUGCAUCGCUGGAGUGCGGCAGAGGGGGAUGGAAUUCCGCGUGUAGCAGUGAAAUGCGUAGAUAUGCGGAGGAACACCGAUGGCGAAGGCAAUCCCCUGGGCCUGCACUGACGCUCAUGCACGAAAGCGUGGGGAGCA
rnacentral:rRNA from 1 species